rnacentral:lncRNA from 1 species
GUGUUUAGUGCUUCAGGUUCAGGUUACUCCUACUAUCAGUGUGCACGCACCCAGUGAUAUUGCCAUACUUUCCUACACGCUGCCUGGGGCAACGUUUAUAAAACGUUGGCCGGGAGUGCGUGUGAAGCGAAGCCUGGCAAAGCGUCCGGCAGAGGACGCAUAGGCUGCAUUUAACUCCAUUUAACUGUACCCCUCCCGCCGCGUUUGAACGGAUCCAGCAAUAGUUCUGAAAAGUCGGUGUGCAAGCAAUGUUUUAGGCCUGCCCAGCAGCGAAAAAAAGCCUUUCUGCCGCCACAAUGGCCAACGAAAGCUCUAUUGGGGCGGCUCCUUUGCGUCGAACGGUUUCAAUGCCAACGAGACAUUGAGCUGUCGAGGAUACACCAAACAGAGGAUAUGUCUUGUGGGUUCACUCAAGGAUAACGAAAAA